rnacentral:rRNA from 1 species
UACGUAGGGUGCAAGCGUUGUCCGGAAUUAUUGGGCGUAAAGAGCUUGUAGGCGGUUUGUCGCGUCUGCUGUGAAAUUUCGGGGCUCAACCCCGAACUUGCAGUGGGUACGGGCAGACUAGAGUGUGGUAGGGGAGACUGGAAUUCCUGGUGUAGCGGUGAAAUGCGCAGGAUAUCAGGAGGAACACCGGUGGCGAAGGCGGUGGUCUGGGCCGGCACUGACGCUGAGGAGCGAAAGCGUGGGGAGCGAACAGG